rnacentral:antisense_RNA from 1 species
CAGUUUCCAGAAAACUCGGUUCAAUUCCUUCACCACGGACCCACCAACCAAGGAGCUGGCAAGACCCACCAGCCAACCAGGAGAACACAGACCCGCCGUUUCCUCUCCCUCGCCGGCCUCGGAGGAGAUUCCAGGCCCUGUAGAGACCAGGACGUUCCUUAGCGCCACCGCCCCACAUGCCAGUGCUGCCGGGAACCCAGCGAUAUCCGCACCAGCGGAGAAGGUUCCAGGCUGCCGGCGGCGGCGCGGAGAGCGGGAAGAGAGGAGCGGAGGAAGCCCCGGGCGUGGCGCGGUCAGGCUCCGAGAGCGGCCGGGAUGCGGCCACAUCGGCCUGGUAAACUCGUACCGCUUAGGAUCUUGCUCCCGAACUCAUUCCCUUCCCCACCCCCCAUUUUAAAGUUUUAUUUGGGUCGUCUGUGUCAAUUUAGAACGAGAUAAAUUAAGACAAAGAAAGUAAAAUAAAUCGAAAUAAAAUAAA